AGGACGAACGCUUGCGACGUGCCUAAGAAAUGCAAGUCGAACGGGGUCAUCCUUCGGGGUGGCCUAGUGGCGAACGGUCGCGUAACACGUGGGCAACCUGCCCUGAAGCGGGGACAACAAGCCGAAAGGUUUGCUAAUACCGCAUGUGGAUCGCCUCGGCAUCGAGGAUUAUCCAAAGCAGCAAUGCACUUCAGGAUGGGCCCGCGGCCUAUCAGCUAGUUGGAGGGGUAACGGCCCACCAAGGCUUCGACGGGUAGCUGGUCUGAGAGGACGAUCAGCCGGAUUGGGACUGAGAUACGGCCCAGACUCCACGGGGGGCAGCAAUUAGGAAUCUUGCACAAUGGGCGAAAGCCUGAUGCAGCGACGUCGCGUGGGGGAUGAAAUCUUUCGGGAUGUAAACCCCUUUGUCAGGGAAGAAACAAAUGACGGUACCUGACGAAUAAGCCCGGCUAACUACGUGCCAGCAGCCGC
rnacentral:rRNA from 1 species